rnacentral:lncRNA from 1 species
CUGAACAAGCAGUGAGGUAGGAAUUUUCAUAUUGAUAUUUUUUGUUUUGAGUUUAUUAUCCAAUAUACUUGACAUAUGACGAGCUGCAUGUUAAAAUACCUCUUGUGAUAUCUGAUUAAAUUAAAUUGUUUUCAUGUGUAUCACACAUAUUUUUCCCCAUCAGAUUAACACUUUAAAAUUUUCUUCUGAAAUAUCUAUUUGGCUAUAUUGUGCCAUGUGUUUUUCAUUGCCCCUCGCCUGAUUCUUUAUUAAUCAAGUUAUAACCAUAUUCAAAAGAAUGAACAUCCAAACCUUUCUCUGGAGGAAUUGCCACUUGGUUAAUUUUAUGGCAUCCAAGUGUCUUGGGAUGUAUAGGUUUUUGUAAAGGUUCUACCUUGUUGAUACUUGAUGAGUAACUUUUGGUUGUCUUUUGUAGGGGCACCUUUCUUGAAGGUUAUUUGGGAUUGUGCUCAUAGAGUAGUUCCCACUCCUUGUGUAGUUGGGUCAACCUCAUUGACGUUUUUUUUCAUUCAAAUACUGAAUGAUGGUAACCAAACCUUCAUAUCAAGGUAACUAAACUGUCAUAUCAAAGUAAUCAAUCAAUCUCCACACUUUCAAUUUUUCCUUAGUGCAGUUGGUAACCAAACAUUUAGAUCAAGGUAAGCAAAUCUUCAUCUUAUGGUAACAAAACCAUCAUACCAAGGUAACCAAUUCACAUCCACACCUGCAGUUUUUUCAUAGUGCAAUUGGUAGCCAAACCUUCAAACCAAGGUA